AAGUCGUAACAAGGUUUCCGUAGGUGAACCUGCGGAAGGAUCAUUAAAAAGGAUGCCGAGUAAUCGGUAUACCCCACCCGUGUCUAUAUACUCUUGUUGCUUUGGCAGGCCGUGGCCUCCACCGUGGGCUCUGCCUGCGUGUGCCUGCCAGAGGACCAAACUCUGAAUUUUAGUGAUGUCUGAGUACUAUAUAAUAGUUAAAACUUUCAACAACGGAUCUCUUGGUUCUG
rnacentral:misc_RNA from 1 species